AAAAAGGGUGCUUGCUUUACAUUCUAUGGCACGUUUGAGUGGUUCAAUGAAUCGACCCAAGCGAGGUAUGGUUAUCAAGACAUAUCUAGCACGUAAUUUUUAAAUCGGAGAGCUGUUAAUGCCGUGAAGGCGAUGGCGCUUUC